UACGGAGGGUGCAAGCGUUAUCCGGAAUCACUGGGUUUAAAGGGUGCGUAGGCGGCACUGUAAGUCAGGGGUGAAAGGCUGCAGCUCAACUGUGGAAUUGCCUUUGAUACUGCGGUGCUAGAAUGAGAUUGAUGUAAGCGGAAUGUGGCAUGUAGCGGUGAAAUGCAUAGAUAUGCCAUAGAACACCAAUUGCGAGGGCAGCUUGCUAGAUCUUGAUUGACGCUGAGACACGAGAGCGUGGGGAGCGAACAGG
rnacentral:rRNA from 1 species